UGAAAACCUCUGACCGGAAGUACUAGUUUUCCUCACUUCACGGGUGAUACAUUCAUGGUGGACAGUCUGCCUGCGUUGUAAAAUUGUAGUUACCGAUGGGGACGGAUAAUGUCCCCUAACACACUCUGCACCUCAACGGAUAAAAUAAGGGAAACACCACAUUGAAUUUGUCACAGCUAACGUUACAGAGGCAGCUGUUGGGUUGAUGGUCUGCCAGCUUCAGAGGAGACAGUCGACACAUCUACUUCCAGUAUGAGUGAGUUAACAGACUUUGACAGAGGCCAGAUAGUUGGUGCCCAAGUUGCAGGUCUGUCGGUCAGAAAAACUGCUCAGUUAUGUGAUGUAUCAAGUCAAACUGUCUUCAAAGUCAUGAGUGACUAUAACAAACACGGACACACUUCAUCAGUAAAGAAGAACUGUGGGCACAAGGCACAGACGAAAAGGAGAAGACUGACGAAAGCUACAACUAAUGGAGAAGUUGCCAGUGGGAAACCAGUAUCCAAGUCUGAUGAAGAGAGCCAGAUACCUGAAUCCCAGACCCAAGACAAGACACAGUGGUGAAUUUUUUCUUACCCUGGAUAUCUCUGCUUCAGUGUACAAAAUAAAGGAAUCACCAUAUGACUGAGGACAUUGGAGCAUCUAAGUAGAAAUUACAGGGCCUGCUGCCUGCCUGUAAAUUGGGAUUGCUUGCCGGCACCAAAAGAGACAGUCAACACUUAAAUAGUGUUUAAAGCAAUAUGAGUGACUUAACAGAGUUUGAACGAUGCCAAAUAGUCGCUGCGCGGCUGUCAGGGGCAUCUGUCACAAAAACUGCACAGCUUUUUAACGUGGCAAGGGGAACAGUCUCCAGAGUCAUGACUGUGUACGUCAAACACGGACGAACAGCAUCAGCAAAGAAGAACAGCGGGCGCAAGUCAAAGCUCACCGAAACGGAUAGACAGACACUUCUCAGGAUAGUCGAUGAGCACCCUGAGUAUACAGCCUCAAAAAUAACCACAGAGUUGAAUGGACAACUCUCUCACACCGUCUCAGUCAAAACUAUACGGCGUGAGCUUCACAAAGCUGGUAUUUUUAGAGGAGCAGCCAGUCGGAAACCAGAGACCGAGACUGACACACAGAAGCCAGAUGGAAAGAACACUAAACCUAAACCUGGCAAAGAGCGUGACACACAAAAACAUGGCGACGAGAGCAAAAGACCUGAAAUACAAACAAAUGACAAAGAGUGUGGCACACAAAAGCCCGUGGGAGACAAAACAAUACCUGAAUCCCGGGUUAGUGUCGAAGGGUCCAACACAGAAAAAGCCGGAGAGAGAAUACAACCUGAAUCCCAAGUCAGUUAAGAAGAGUACAUCACACAAAAGCCUGGUGAAGAGAGCACCCAACCUAAACCUCAGACCAGUGAAAAGGAAUAACGUGUUGUAUUUUCAGCCUUUCUUAUGCAUCCAGAUUGGUCAUAUUAAUAAUGGAAAACCACAGAAUGCCUACAUCCCUUAAUGUUGCCCACUGUUAAAUGUGACCAUGGAUUUCCGUUUCAAUAUGUUAUUAUUUAUUUUGUAUGAAUUUAAAAGGGUGCAAGAUUCCGGCAUAUCCCAAGCGUUGUUGUUUGUGUGGUUUGUGAGCAAACGUAACUUAACGGUAGACUAAAAAGUGAAAAAUGUCCAAAAUGUAAAUUAUACUGUUUGUUCCUGAUUUGUAGGCAGAUGUCAUGCAGAAUAAUUGUCUGUGUUGUACUGUAAAGCAUGGCCUUGUUGAGGUUAUAAUAUAUAUUAUUGUGGAUAAGGUGCGAAACCAAGCAACAACCAUAAUCCCAUAAGGGUCUCAAAAAAUAAAGUUCCUCUACUGCCACUGUAGAAAAAAUAAAUGCUUACUUUUUUUAAAUAUGAAGUCAUUUUUUAUUCCUGAGAUGUCAAGUUCUUAGUUGUGUGUCUCUAAAAUGUGUCUUCUAACAUGUCUUGGCUGUGAUUUUGAAAAAUAUGCAAUGUUUAAUUACGAAGACAUUAAGACUUGAAGAGAAGUACUGUGUGUUUUGGGGCGAAAGCUUCUCAGGUUAUCGUGCUCAACUGGUUGCUGCUUGCUCAUCCCAUCUCAGCUUCACCCAGACUACCCAAACCCAAACUCCAGGUUUUAGAACAUUCUUUCAGCAAACUAUAGGGUGGUUCAGAAAAAGCACUUGCGUCUACUUUUAUAAUGUCACUAUGAUAUGAUAAAUCUAAAUGUUGGGCACGUUCACAGGCACUACUUACUCUUUGCUGCAAAUGUAUGGAGUGACAAUUGAUGACCCCAACAUAAGGUAUCUGUAUUAUCAACUCCCAUGCUACCUUUGCUUUUGUAUACCAAAUUUCACGUUUUGUAGCACCUUCAUGCAGGGAUGGUAGACAAGCAUUUAGUGUCUAUGGUCUUUGCCUCUAGAAUAGCCAGAAGAGCUGAGGGAGUUACAAUCUGUAAAUACCUUUAAAAGGAACCUGAAAAUUUACCUUUUCAGUUUAGCAUUCAUCCAUUUUUUAUUUAAUUUCCUUGUAUUUUUAUUGUAUUGUUGUAUUGUUAUGCACCUUGUAUUGCAAUUUUGUACAAAAGGUGCUAUUUAAAUAAAGUUUAGAUUGUUUGUAUUGUAAU